UGGUGGAGCGAUUUGUCUGGUCAAUUCCGAUAAUAAACGAGACUAGCCUACUAAAUAGUUCGAGGACCCCCACAAAGGGGUCCAGCUUAAACUUCUUGGAGGGGACAGGUGGCGUUUAGCCACACGAGAUUGAGCAAUAACA
rnacentral:rRNA from 1 species